rnacentral:tRNA from 1 species
UCCUGAUAGCUUAGUUGGUAAAGAAUCUGCUUGCAGUGCAGGAGGUCUCAGUUCAAUUCCUGAAUCAGGAA